GGUGAGGUGUCCGAGUGGCUGAAGGAGCACGCCCGGAAAGUGUGUAUACGGCAACGUAUCGGGGGUUCGAAUCCCCCCCCCCUCACCGCCA
rnacentral:tRNA from 1 species